rnacentral:rRNA from 1 species
UACGUAGGGCGCAAGCGUUGUCCGGAAUUAUUGGGCGUAAAGAGCUCGUAGGCGGUUUGUCGCGUCUGUCGUGAAAGCCCACGGCUUAACUGUGGGUCUGCGGUGGAUACGGGCAGACUAGAGGCAGGUAGGGGAGAAUGGAAUUCCCGGUGUAGCGGUGAAGUGCGCAGAUAUCGGGAGGAACACCGGUGGCGAAGGCGGUUCUCUGGGCCUGUACUGACGCUGAGGAGCGAAAGCGUGGGGAGCGAACAGG